rnacentral:lncRNA from 1 species
CUUUACUCUUUGAAUGCAAUUUGGGGACUAAUCGUCAACAUAUCCACUAUUAUAGCCAUGUAAACUAAAUAAACAAAACAAGACUAUUUAUUGUAAUAUAUAGAUUUUGAUUGUUUGGAAAUCAGUUUUAAAAAAAUCAGAGAUGUUAUUAAGCUUCUUAGAGAAUAAGACGAUAGUAAUUUAGUGGAAAAGCCUCAUUUGUGUCUGAAUAAUCUGGUUACUCCUAAGUACAGAUACUGUUCAAUGUUAUCAAAGUUGAUUACUAUUCAUAAAGAAAUGUCACUUGCUGGGCCUGUUAGUCUUCCAAUACUGAGGGUGGCAAAAGGGCAAUGAUCUACCUAACACCUAGCACAAAGCUUCCUAAGCAAGAGCUCCAGUAUACCUGGAGCUCUUUAUCUCAAUUCUUUAUCUCUUAUGAUGAUUGGAAAGAACCUGGAUUCUUGGCCAGCAGCCUCUGGACACAGUGAGUUAGCCAUUUGACAUAGUGUUCAGCAAGAUACUGAGAUAUUGUUGCUGGGAACAUUGACCUACCAUUAUCAGUGGGUCAUAAUAGAUUCUACCUGUUUUCUACUUAUAUAUACAAUGCAUCAUAAAAUGUAAGUCAGAAAGCAGUAGACCAAGAACAGCAACUUCCAACCCAGUUUAUUUUUUAACAUUACUACAGGGGUAAGGGACCUUAUAAGAAACCUUGUCAUGAAGCUGUUCAAUCCCAGAAUACUGAACCCAUCUUUCAAUAAAUGUUUAAGUUUCCAGAAUUUUAGUAAGUUGAGGAGAAAGGGAAUUUAAAAGUACUCACAUUCUGAUUUCUAUCUCAAUAAAGUGUAAGCAUUUUUCCUCUUUAUGAAACAACAUACAGUUGUUUAAUUUGCUUUGGAAACAAACUGUAUUGGCAAUAUAUUUUUAUUUAGGCUAAGCAGCAUAAUAAGAAAAAGUGAAUCCUUUACGUAAGUUAGGCUUUGAGAAAAUUGUUUUUAUGACUGAGAGGCAAGCAAGAUACUUUCCUUUGCAUUAUGGCCACAGUAGCUGCCUCUCAGUCACCUCUUCUCCUUUCUGUUGCUGGUCCAUCACACAUGCUGCUUGCUUCCUGGAGUGUUAUUCACCUCCCCCUGCUUUUCACCUAUUUUACUAAUACUCAGCUAUUUGCUCUCAGCUAAAUCUCAGUUCAUGCCAAGGAAACCCAUACCUUACACCUUGCCUACAUACCCC